GCUGGUCGCGGCGAUGGAUCCCGCCGGGGCGUGACGCCCGAACCGCCGCACGGCUGAUGGUUCCUGCUCCGGU
rnacentral:ncRNA from 2 species